CAGCCGCCACGGUAAUACGUAGGUCCCGAGCGUUGUCCGGAUUUAUUGGGCGUAAAGCGAGCGCAGGCGGUUAGAUAAGUCUGAAGUUAAAGGCUGUGGCUUAACCGUAGUACGCUUUGGAAACUGUUUAACUUGAGUGCAAGAGGGGAGAGUGGAAUUCCAUGUGUAGCGGUGAAAUGCGUAGAUAUAUGGAGGAACACCGGUGGCGAAAGCGGCUCUCUGGCUUGUAACUUACGCUGAGGCUCGAAAGCGUGGGGAGCAAACAGGAUUAGAUACCCCCGUAGUCCCUGUCUCUUAUACC
rnacentral:rRNA from 1 species